rnacentral:Y_RNA from 1 species
GGCUGGUCUAAAUGCAGUGGUGUUAACAACAAAUUGGUCACAACCAGUUACAGAUUUCUUUGUUCCUUCUUCAUUCCCACUGCUUCACUUGACUAGCUGUAA